rnacentral:rRNA from 1 species
GCUGGCGGCGUGCUUAACACAUGCAAGUNGAGCGACGACCCCGAGCUUGCUCGGGGGCAAAGCCGCGAACGGGUGAGUAACACGUGGGUAACCUGCCCUGUUGAUUGGGACAACCCCGGGAAACCGGGGCUAAUACCAAAUGUGCUCUGUCCACAUCAGUGGAUCGAGGAAAGGAGGCUUCGGCUUCCGCAACGGGAUGGGCCCGCGGCCCAUUAGCUUGUUGGUGGGGUAACGGCCUACCAAGGCUUCGAUGGGUAGCUGGUCUGAGAGGACGAUCAGCCACACUGGGACUGAGACACGGCCCAGACUCCUACGGGAGGCAGCAGUGGGGAAUCUUGCGCAAUGCGCGAAAGCGUGACGCAGCAACGCCGCGUGAGGGAAGACGGCCUUCGGGUUGUAAACCUCUUUCAGUUGGGACGAAGCCUCGGCGGUUAAUACCCGUCUGAGGUGACGGUACCUUCAGAAGAAGCCCCGGCUAACUACGUGCCAGCAGCCGCGGUAAUACGUAGGGGGCAAGCGUUGUCCGGAAUCAUUGGGCGUAAAGCGCGUGUAGGCGGCUUGGUAAGUCCGCUCUGAAAGCCCGGGGCUCAACCCCGGGAGGCGGGUGGAUACCGUCAAGC